CUCCUGCGCCGGUGACCUUGGCCGAGCAGAUUGAAACUCUCUUCAAGUCUAAGGACUAUGAGUUCAUGUGGAACCCUCACCUGGGCUACAUCCUCACCUGCCCAUCCAACCUGGGCACCGGGCUGCGGGCAGGUGUGCAUAUCAAGCUGCCCAACCUGGGCAAGCAUGAGAAGUUCUCGGAGGUGCUUAAGCGGCUGCGACUUCAGAAGCGAGGCACAGGCGGUGUGGACACGGCUGCGGUGGGCGGGGUCUUCGACGUCUCCAACGCUG
rnacentral:lncRNA from 1 species